AAUAAUGUUUAAAAUUUAAUCUGAUGUUGUUGUUUUUUUAAUAAUGGUUAACUAAUCAAUGAUAAACAGACAUUUGAAAAAAAAGGGACUAACAUUGAUGUUAUUUAUAGGCUUAGAUAUUAAGCUGUAGAGGUAAUAUUUGACAGCACCCCCUCCCUCCCUCCCUGCCUGCCUCGCGCUCCACUCCCAGCAUAUCCGUUUUUAUUCUGAGUCACCGUGUCGGUCGAACCGAACCGGAGCUAUUUAACGCAUUUCCUGCUUCUGUUUGCUUGAAUAACCGAUGACCCAGGUGGUUCAGAGGCGCGUGGACAUGACAGCUUUGGUUCCUCCUCCUGCAUCGCUGCACAGCAGGAGGCACGGAUCUCCUGCUCUGUCACCUUCCAGUCCUACAGGCUCUCGGCUGAAUUUAUCUAAAGAACGACAAGAGGACGGAGAGAAAAAACAAGGUGUGU